rnacentral:tRNA from 2 species
GGGGAAUUAGCUCAGUUGGGAGAGCAGGGUCUUUGCAAGGCUCAGGUCAUCGGUUCGAGUCCGAUAUUCUCCA